rnacentral:rRNA from 1 species
UCACGGCCAUAGAAGCGAGAAAGUGCCGCGUCCCGUCAGAUACGCGAAGCGAGGCUCGCUAUCGCCCGAUUAGUACCAAGGUCGGGGACGACUCGGGAUUGCUGGGUA